UGAACCAGUACCGUGAGGGAAAGGUGAAAAGUACCCCGGAAGGGGAGUGAAAGAGAACUUGAAACCGUGUGCUUACAAGUAGUCAGAGCCCGUUAAUGGGUGAUGGCGUGCCUUUUGUAGAAUGAACCGGCGAGUUACGAUCUGAUGCAAGGUUAAGCAGGAGAUGUGGAGCCGUAGCGAAAGCGAGUCUGAAUAGGGCGUUGAGUAUUUGGUCGUAGACCCGAAACCAGGUGAUCUACCCAUGGUCAGGUUGAAGUUCAGGUAACACUGAAUGGAGGACCGAACCGACUUACGUUGAAAAGUGAGCGGAUGAACUGUGGGUAGC
rnacentral:rRNA from 1 species